UACGAAGGGGGCUAGCGUUGCUCGGAAUUACUGGGCGUAAAGGGCGCGUAGGCGGACAGUUUAGUCAGAGGUGAAAGCCCAGGGCUCAACCUUGGAAUUGUCUUUGAUACUGAUUGUCUUGAGUUCGGGAGAGGUGAGUGGAAUGCCGAGUGUAGAGGUGAAAUUCGUAGAUAUUCGGCGGAACACCAGUGGCGAAGGCGACUCACUGGUCCGAUACUGACGCUGAGGCGCGAAAGCGUGGGGAGCAAACAGG
rnacentral:rRNA from 1 species